rnacentral:rRNA from 1 species
UACGUAGGGGGCAAGCGUUGUCCGGAAUCAUUGGGCGUAAAGCGCGUGUAGGCGGCUGAGUAAGUCUGCUCUGAAAGCCCGGGGCUCAACCCCGGGAGGCGGGUGGAUACUGCUCAGCUCGAGUCCGGAAGAGGAGUGUGGAAUUCCUGGUGUAGCGGUGAAAUGCGUAGAUAUCUGGAGGAACACCGGUGGCGAAGGCGGCAUCCUGGACCAAUUCUAACGCUGAGGAGCGAAAGCCAGGGGAGCAAACGGG